UCCGUAGGUGAACCUGCGGAGGGAUCAUUACCGAGUUUACAACUCCCAAACCCCUGUGAACAUACCACUUGUUGCCUCGGCGGAUCAGCCCGCUCCCGGUAAAACGGGACGGCCCGCCAGAGGACCCCUAAACUCUGUUUCUAUAUGUAACUUCUGAGUAAAACCAUAAAUAAAUCAAAACUUUCAACAACGGAUCUCUUGGUUCUGGCAUCGAUGAAGAACGCAGCAAAAUGCGAUAAGUAAUGUGAAUUGCAGAAUUCAGUGAAUCAUCGAAUCUUUGAACGCACAUUGCGCCUGCCAGUAUUCUGGCGGGCAUGCCUGUUCGAGCGUCAUUUCAACCCUCAAGCACAGCUUGGUGUUGGGACUCGCGUUAAUUCGCGUUCCCCAAAUUGAUUGGCGGUCACGUCGAGCUUCCAUAGCGUAGUAGUAAAACCCUCGUUACUGGUAAUCGUCGCGGCCACGCCGUUAAACCCCAACUUCUGAAUGUUGACCCCGGAUCAGGUAGGAAUACCCGCUGAACUUAAGCAUAUCAAUAAGCGGAGGA
rnacentral:rRNA from 1 species